GUGGAAUAUGAAAGAAGCGAUCUGAUUGGUUGCUAUGGGCAACUCAGCCGCUUUUCCAGGAAGAAAUGUAUGGCUGAUGUUUCAAGAAUAAAGAAUUUCUGUUUGAAUCCACCGGAGAGUUGCCGCUUGUUCCGUCUUCUAAUCGCAUUUAUUGGACAUCUCCUGCUUCCAAGCUGAGCACCACCGGAGGGCCUGCAGCUGUUGCCAGGACUGCAUUGCUCUGCGCCAAGGGUUUAAGGACAACUUUCUAGGACAACCGGGGACAAAUGUGACUGGCUCAUCUAGAAUAUCAAACCCAAAGUGUUCUUACCCUUGACUGCCAAUAUCUCUUUAAAUCUCAUUAAGUUUCUACUGUGACUGUGGGGAGCAUGUGGUUUAAAAUAAAGCUAACAUUUACAUAAAAUAUUCCAUAUUAAUGUUCCAUGUUCCAUUGUUUGUACUUCUUAAAUUGUUUUUUUCAUAUCUUACCAUAUUUUUUAAAAGAGGCGCAAAGACCAACCUCUCUAAGCAUCGGCAAUGAGCUCUGUCUGGUUUUACAAUCCCCCCUGUAAUAUUAUAUCGCUAUAGCAACUGGGGACCCAGUAGCCACUACUUCUGCCUUCUUAGUAAACCUUUUAGGCCCGUUGAGAAAGAUUUCUGAAUAUUUUUUUGCUUGUUAGUGGUCUAUUUUACAUGUUUAUUGAGCAAUAUUGGUUUUGAGUAUUUGUUUUGGGCAUUUUAUUUUUUUUACCUACAAUAUAAGUGAUUUCUGAAGAUUUAUCUUUGUAGUUCACUUUACAUGCAGUGGUCAAUUUAUCAUUCAAUGAUAUUGUUGAAAAAAAAAAAAGCAAACACAGACCACCCUCAGUGGUGCUCUGAAAAACCUGCUUUUAAACUGAGAAAUUGUGUUUUAAAGUCAUGUUGUUAGUUUUGGUGGACAUGCUAAUAAUUUAUCACUCAUCGUGACACAAUAUAAUUUAUGUGCAUGUCCACCAAAAAACCUGCAACAAAAGUGACUCAAAAAUGACAUACCAAACAAUUCACUGAUAAAUAUCCCCCUUUGUAUUUUUCAAAAGUGAACCCAUUAAAAAAAUAUUAUUUAUUCUGCAAAAUUCAAGACCUCAUAUGGCUAUGUAAAAAUAUGGAAAUGAAAAGCAAAAUAAAUAAAUAAAUGCUGCAUCGGUACAGCAAAUGCUGCAAGUACCGAACUAGGCCAUUUUCUUAAGGGGUUAAGAAUAAUUGUCCUCUAAUAUCCAUAAGUCAUGGUCUGUAAAGCACUGGAUUACAUGAACAUUGCACUGAGGCACACAGAUCUCUUAAUAAAAACGUGUCAGUCUCCAUAAGAAUGAAGAGGAGUGAAAGUAAUAUAAUGAGAUGUCCAAGUACCAUUAAAAAUAAUCUUCUCAAAAAGCGUGCACAUAAGGAAAAUAAUAUAGAUGAAAGGAAGUCAUUUAUUAGAUGAUACUGAUGUUUUAAUAUCCAGUAUGGUGUAUUCAUUAAAAUGCCAUCACAGGUAAUGUAUAAAACAUGAAGGAAUAAAAUGUCAUCUUUGCUGAUACCUUCACGUGAAUCAAUUUCUCUAGACGCUUGGCAUUGCUCGUAUGAGUGAAUUAUUUGUUGCAUAUUAAAAAGAAAAACAAGUAGACAUCUGCUCUGUACUAUAAUAAAAUGCUUUAAAUACAGUAUUGCAUUCUAAACAUGUGUGAUGUUUGUGUUUUAUUUUAACAUUAAGCUGCUUUGUGUCACCAUCAUGUGACACAAUUUCCUUAAAGGGGUACUCCGCUGCUCAGCGUUUGGAACAAACUGUUCCGAAUGCUGGAACUGGCACCGGGAGCUCGUGACGUCAUAACCCCCU